rnacentral:tRNA from 1 species
GCGACAUAGCCAAGUGGUAAGGCAGAGGACUGCAAAUCCUNNGGUAGAGUGUCACCUUGCCAAGGUGAAAGUCGCGAGUCCGAAUCUCGUAUCCCGCUCCA